rnacentral:rRNA from 1 species
GCCUACGGGACGCAGCAGUGGGGGAUAUUGCACGAUGGGGGGAACCCUGAUGCAGCGACGCCGCGUGGGCGAUGGAGUACUUCGGUAUGUAAAGCCCUAUCAGCAGGGAAGAAAAUGACGGUACCUGACUAAGAAGCCCCGGCUAAAUACGUGCCAGCAGCCGCGGUAAUACGUAUGGGGCAAGCGUUAUCCGGAUUUACUGGGUGUAAAGGGAGCGUAGACGGCAGCGCAAGUCUGGAGUGAAAUGCCGGGGCUCAACCCCGGAACUGCUUUGGAAACUGUGCAGCUAGAGUGCGGGAGAGGUA